GCGUGGGUAACCUGGCCCAUACAGGGGGAUAACACUUAGAAAUAGGUGCUAAUACCGCAUAACAACAGAAAGCGCAUGCUUUUUGUUUGAAAACCAAGGUGGUAUGGGAUGGACCCGCGUCUGAUUAGCUGGUUGGCGGGGUAAAGGCCCACCAAGGCGACGAUCAGUAGCCGGCCUGAGAGGGUGGACGGCCACAUUGGGACUGAGACACGGCCCAAACUCCUACGGGAGGCAGCAGUGGGGAAUAUUGCACAAUGGGGGAAACCCUGAUGCAGCGACGCCGCGUGAGUGAAGAAGUAAUUCGUUAUGUAAAGCUCUAUCAGCAGGGAAGAAAAUGACGGUACCUGAGUAAGAAGCCCCGGCUAACUACGUGCCAGCAGCCGCGGUAAUACGUAGGGGGCAAGCGUUAUCCGGAUUUACUGGGUGUAAAGGGAGCGUAGACGGCAGUGCAAGUCUGGAGUGAAAGGCGGGGGCUCAACCCCCGGACUGCUCUGGAAACUGUACGGCUGGAGUGCAGGAGAGGUAAGUGGAAUUCCUAGUGUAGCGGUGAAAUGCGUAGAUAUUAGGAGGAACACCAGUGGCGAAGGCGGCUUACUGGACUGUAACUGACGGUGAGGCGCGAAAGCGUGGGGAGCAAACAGGAUUAGAUACCCUGGUAGUCCACGCUGUAAACGAUCGAUACUAGGUGU
rnacentral:rRNA from 1 species